rnacentral:rRNA from 1 species
UACGAAGGGGGCUAGCGUUGCUCGGAAUCACUGGGCGUAAAGGGCGCGUAGGCGGCUUAUCAAGUCGGGGGUGAAAGCCCGUGGCUCAACCACGGAAUUGCCUUCGAUACUGUAUGGCUUGAGACCGGAAGAGGUAAGUGGAACUGCGAGUGUAGAGGUGAAAUUCGUAGAUAUUCGCAAGAACACCAGUGGCGAAGGCGGCUCACUGGUCCGGUACUGACGCUGAGGUGCGAAAGCGUGGGGAGCAAACAGG